rnacentral:rRNA from 1 species
UUGGAGGGCAAGUCUGGUGCCAGCAGCCGCGGUAAUUCCAGCUCCAAUAGCGUAUAUUAAAGUUGCUGCAGUUAAAAAGCUCGUAGUUGAAUUUCGGGACCAUCAUGUCGGUCGUGCCUCGGUACGUACUGGUAUUGUUGGUUUCUCCCUUCUGACGAACCAUGAUGUCAUUUAUUUGGUGUUGUGGGGAAUCAGGACUGUUACUUUGAAAAAAUUAGAGUGUUUAAAGCAGGCUCACGCUUGAAUACAUUAGCAUGGAAUAAUGAAAUAGGACGUUUGAUUCUAUUUUGUUGGUUUCUAGGAUCGACGUAAUGAUUAAUAGGGAUAGUUGGGGGCAUUAGUAUUCAAUUGUCAGAGGUGAAAUUCUUGGAUUUAUUGAAGACUAACUAUUGCGAAAGCAUUUGCCAAGGAUGUUUUCAUUAAUCAAGAACGAAAGUUAGGGGAUCGAAGACGAUCAGAUACCGUCGUAGUCUUAACCAUAAACUAUGCCGACUAGGGAUCGGAUGAUGUUAAUUUUUUAAUGACUCAUUCGGCGCCUUACGGGAAAC